rnacentral:lncRNA from 1 species
AAUCCAUAUCUCCACACAAAGAGAGAUGUUGGCUACUCUAACCCCACCUCUUCUGUCCCCAACAACAUCCUGAGCGCCAAUGGGAAGUCUCAGGAGUCCCACCCCUCUGCCUUCUCUGUUCUAGAAUGUGGAGGGACCAACGGGCCUGAGAAGAUGGAGGAUCCCCCCAUACUCUCCAGGGAGGUCUCUGCCAGCUGUGCUCUCACCCCCCCUUCCUCCUCCAUUAUCUCAUAACUAGGCAAGUCUUCCAUGAAUGGUAUAGCAUCUCUCUCUCUCUCUCUCUCCUCUUGAAAAUGCUGUAGACAAGGGGAAGGCAAAGCUUCCCCAUCCUCCUCUUCGAAGGGAAGCUGAUCAGACUGAGCACACACUUCCCAGUCUUCCUGUUCCAACCGUUCCCUGACAUUUCAUGGGCAACUAGCCAGGAGCCACUGAUAGCAUCCUGACAUGGACAUAGAACAAAGCCAUAAAGGCUACUAGCCAUUAAAGAUGUAUUUGUUGUUGUUGUUUAGUCAUUUAGUCGUGUCCGACUCUUCGUGACCCCAUGGACCAGAGCAUGCCAGGCACUUCUGUCUUCCACUGCCUCCCGCAGUUUGGUCAAACUCAUGCUGGUAGCUUCGAGAACACUAUCCAACCAUCUCGUCCUCUGUCGUACCCUUCUCCUUGUGCCCUCCAUCUUUCCCAACAUUAAGGUCUUUUCCAGGGAGUCUUCUCUUCUCAUGAGGUGGCCAAAGUAUUGGAGCCUCAGCUUCAGGAUCUGUCCUUCCAGUGAGCAUUCAGGGCUGAUUUCCUUCAGAAUGGAUAGGUUUGAUCUUCUUGCAGUCCAUGGGACUCUCAAGAGUCUCCUCCAGCACCAUAAUUCAAAAGCAUCAAUUCUUCGGCGAUCAGCCUUCUUUAUGGUCCAGCUCUCACUUCCAUAGAUCACUAUUGGGAAAACCAUGGCUUUAACUAUACAGACCCUUGAAGAUGUAUUAUCCUCUUGUAAAUAUAUCCAGUUUGGUGGUGGUUACUACAUCUUGUGGGAGCAAAUUACAUAGCCAGUUUCCCACCCCCCUAGAAAACCUCCCUUGUUCUCUUAGAAUGGCAAUGGCACCUGCCUGAGAGGUGCCGGAAAUGUCUUCCGGCCCGUUCUAGCUGAAAAGGAAAGCCCUGGUUCAACCAUGUGCUGUUCAGCUAAGGCCUUUUAUCCAUCCUGAAUCUUCCAUUCAGCUGGAUGGACUUGAGUCCUACUAGUAGGAGAGAGAGAGUAUUUUGCUUGUAUGGCGGAUUGGGGAAAUAGCAGCAAACAGUGUAAGAGGACUAUCUCUCUUCAGAGGGAGGAGGUAUGAAACUCUGUGUGAUAUGAUACACUUGUGGGACAUGGGGGCAUUUCUUUCUUUCUUUUUCACAUUUCCAAUUGUGCACUGAAGUCUUGUAGGAGGAGCAUGGGGAGCCGUUGUGUAUAUGCCCUCAAUGAAAUGUAAAAACAAGGGAGCUAUCACCACAAAUCAUUUCUUACAAGCUAUGCUGUAAUUUUUGUUUUCAGAGAUGCUGUUAUGCCAGAGUCUGAACAUGCAGUGGGAAUGAUAAUGGCUGGAGUUGCGGAGUUUUGUCCCAGUUAUCUUGAAUAACGGUAGGUAGAUCUUCAGGAAAGAGGUCCCUUCAAUGGGAGACAUGUAUACAUUGCAAAAUUAAAGAAUGUUAGAGUGAUGUUGGAUUGAAAACAAGAGGCCUCCAGCUGUACAGGAUUUAAAGUUAUAGAUAGAUUAGGAUUAAGGAUUAGGAUUAAAAAAGUUUAAGGAAAUGGAAAUUUGGUUUUUAAGAGGUAAAAUUUUAAUGUUAUAUUAUAUUAAGAUUAAAGAUUAGGAUUAAAAAAGAGGGAAAGAAAUUGCUGGACAAACAAUUUGAACUGGAAUACAAAAGAGGGAGGUACGAGGAGGUCCAGAAAAUAAGUAAACUUAAAAAUGGAGAUGAAAAGGUGAUUUUGUUUUUAACUGUUUUUUUUCUUUUCUUUUUUGUCUUUUGUUUUUUGUUCUUUUUUCUUUUUUUGGAUUAUGUAUGUAAUUUUGAAUUGUGUAUUUUUCCCCCCUAUGUUUUCAUGUUUAACCUUUUAUUGAUGUGUUCUUUUUAUUGGAAAAUUUAAUAAAUAUCAUUAAAAAAAAAUCAAUGGGAGACAGGUAUAAUGCAGAAGAUAAGGAAUAUAAUAUAAGCCAGAACAGUUUCACAGGAAAUUUAAUUGUCCUCAGGUGUUCAGAACUAAGGACAGCUACCUACCAAUAAUUUAUAUAUAGGCAUCUAGUCAAUUAGUGAGUUAGAUGUUGUUCAUAAUCCCCAUUUGGGAUCCAGCUGCAGCAUCAUGGAAACCAAAGGUCAGAAAGGUUUGUUCUCAUUUUUAACAUUUUCCUUUUUCUUUGCACAGUACUUCUACUUCCCAGGGAACAGUAGGAACAAACUUCACCACAAGUUACUCCGAUUCAAUGAAGCUGAACUCCUCAUUACGUACUUUGCUGCGUCUCUGCUGGCCAGGGUCCCUUAGUGGAGAGGAACAGCUUUUUAUAGUGCAUCUAAAGUGACCUUGGGCAAAGUAGCUGUAUAUUGGGUCAAUUUCAUGAAAAGACACCAUUCAGACAUUUUUCAAUACAAACACACACAUGGAGAGAUCCUUACCGUGUGUCCCACCAAUAGCUAGAAAUCCUCUAGAGCCCAACCACAUACAGCGAUCUUUACUGAAGGUAAAAACCAAACCACAGCUUCAAUUCUAGUCUCUCUCUAAAAGAUUAUUUUUCAUAAAGGUUUUACACUAUCAGCCUCUAUUACUUACGAUCUGAUGAUAUGGAAUAGACAUAGGCUUCUUCACUGCAGAUAUCAGCUGACCUCAGCAGAUUCCUUGCUCUCAUUUUAGUCUUUUCCAAAAUUCUAGUAAAGCUGCUGCUAUCUCCACUUAGGGAUAUCUCGCUAGUAUCCAGUACGAUUGCUGAUCCUUGGACGCCUUCCCUAUAAAGAGUGGUGUGAAACAGGGCUGUGUUCUCACCCCCAGCUCUCUCUUUGGAAUACGUGCUCUAUGAGGAGCUGGCUUCAGGUACCAGGUCCAUUGGCAGACCUACUCUGUGUUGCAAAGACGUCUGAUAUAAUAAUAAUAAUAAUAAUAAUAAUAAUAAUAAUAAUAAUAAUUUAUUAUUUGUGACCUAGCUGAGUCUAGGAAUACAAUUCUGUGGUAUUAACCAGCCCUAUGCUUGCUAAUUAUAUUUGACUGCAAUUUCCCACAAAAAGUCCUAUUAAUGCCCCAGUCCUAAACACUUAUGUAGGUCUACUGCCCCACAAUCAUACCAUAAUACUAAUAGCUUAACUUGGUCCCGUAAGUGGCAUAUACUGUAUAUUCUUGUGCCUCAUCCUCAGGAAUUACAUGCUUGUAUGUCAUAGGUUAGGCUAUAAGUAUCUUAGUCUCCUUUAUAGAUGGAAAUUGGUGGUUUCUCAGGCUUGAUGUCUACAGUUCAGUUGCAUUCUCAACGUCUCACUGGAGUUAAUUGUAAGCAGCCUGGGGACUGCAGCCACAUUCUGCCUGACAAAUGCAGCAAAUUUAAAAACUAAUGAAUGAAAUCAAGUGUGUAUUAUAGAAGCAAGACAUCAGGGCUUCAAAAUAAGAGAUGAUAUUUAAAAGAUGGAUGCAAAUCACCUUAUUUAAGGAAAAUGGAUUAUUCGCUUGAGCAAGGCAAACAGGAUUGAGACUUUGCGGUAUAAGGUGCUUUUGUCUAAUUUAGGCUACAAAAGAAUAGUUACUGAUAUAUUUUUUUUUAAAAAAGCAGCUGAACACUGACUUAUUUUCAGAGGGUCCACAUAAUUCUUUCAAAGGACUUUAUAAAGCAGGCCAGCUGGAUAUAACUGCAAUGAAAUGGGAUUAUCUGCAAGUGUAGCCAUCCUAGAAUUGACAUGGAUAUUGUCACAUUAUAAAAAAUUUUAGAUUUUUUUAAAAACUAAUCAUUUAGCAUUCUUUUUCCAAAUGUUGCUCAUCAGAAGAUAGCAAACUGUUAAGUCUCCAAGAAAUGUGAUCCUACUACAGUAUUUUGUCAGUCUGGUGCAUCUCAGUGCUUCUGAGCAGGUAGUAGCAGAUUAAACAGCAAAGACUGAAUCUCUCUCAAUAUACAAUGUUGUGAAAUAAUUGGAAUGAUACUAGUCAAGGCAGCAAAGUCUGUAAUCUUAUUCCCACUUAUUUUGGAGGAAGCCCCAUUAAACUCAACAGGGCACACUUCUGAGUAGAAAUGCAUAGAAUUGCAUUGUAAACCUUCCACUAACUUAACCCUGGACUGACUUACUCACACUUACAUGUUAAUAACUUUCUAAUUGACUGGUGUCUGGGAAUGAAUGUUCCAUAACAGUGUGGGACGCUGGUGGAGCUGUGGUCUAAACCACUGAGCCCCUUGGGCCUGUUGAUCAGAAGGUUGGAGGUUUGAAUCCUGCAACGGGGUGAGCUCCCAUUGCUCGGUCCCAGCUCCUGCCAACCUAGCACUUUGAAAGCACACCAGUGCAAGUAGAUAAAUAAGUACCGCUGCAGCUGGAAGGUAAACGGCAUUUCCGUGCGCUCUGGUUUCUGUCACAGUGUUCCGUUGCACCAAAAGCGGUUUAGUCAUGCUGGCCACAUGACCUGGAUAGCUGUCUGUGGACAAACACCAGCUCCCUUGGCCUGAAAGUGAGAUGAGCGCCGCAACCCCAUAGUCGCCUUUGACUGGACUUAACCAUCCAGGGGUAUUUUCCCUUUACCCAUAACAGUACUUCCCUAUUGCUCCAUGCCAGUUCAAUCACAGUGCCUUUCAAUGGAGAAAACUCAGACAUUUGACUGUAAUCAGGUGACAGGAUUUCCCAUGUUGCACAUGAAUAUGGAUAAACCAGUUCCCAGGUUCCUCAAAAUCCAACACACACAGAAAGGUAGCACAUCCCCUAGGACCCCUAGAACAGAGUCAGAGGUUAUGUGGGGAGAGGAAUGCAGGGGUGGGUGGUGGGUGGGAGAAGUCUCAUUUUGGAAGUGAUGCUUGUACUGAUUGGACCCAUUCCUCAGCAUCACUUGGGAUGCAAACCAAAACUUUUUUAUUAUUAUAAUGCUUCUGAAAUAUGCCCGGAUUUUGAUUUGAAAGGAGGGUACCCUAUUCUUGUGGCACAGUUGCUGUGGUUCCCCACUUUGGCAGUGACACAGGCAAAAUUAAAGACAACAUCAUAACACACACACACACACCCUAUUUUGGGAGGAAACUUUUGGCAUGGCCAGAGCAUGGGAGCCCAAAUGGGACAUCUGGGAUUGGAAUCAGAAGCCGCUCCAUCAAUCUGGGAUGUCCCGAUUAAAUCAGGACACUUGGGGGUAUGCAAAAUUAGUAAUAUUUGUCUCUAUUCCAGCAUUCUUUGGCCACCUCAUGAGAAGACUCCUUGGAAAAGACCCUGAUGUUGGGAAAGAUGGAGGGCACAAGGAGAAGGGGACGACAGAGGACAAGAUGGUUGGACAGUGUUCUCGAAGCUACCAGCAUGAGUUUGACCAAAAUGCAGGAGGCAGUGGAAGACAGGAGUGCCUGGUGUGCUCUGGUCCAUGGGGUCACGAAGAGUCGGACACGAAUAAACAACAACAACAACAUUUUCAUUGGAGAAAUGUUGGAGGAUAUGGAGUUAUGCAACCCCCGAGCCAAGGAGACAAGCAGCUCUGCAACCUUUGCAAGAAAUCUGAAG